AGUGAACGCUGGCGGUAGGCCUAACACAUGCAAGUCGAACGGCAGCACAGUAAGAGCUUGCUCUUACGGGUGGCGAGUGGCGGACGGGUGAGGAAUACAUCGGAAUCUACUUUUUCGUGGGGGAUAACGUAGGGAAACUUACGCUAAUACCGCAUACGACCUACGGGUGAAAGCAGGGGAUCUUCGGACCUUGCGCGAUUGAAUGAGCCGAUGUCGGAUUAGCUAGUUGGCGGGGUAAAGGCCCACCAAGGCGACGAUCCGUAGCUGGACUGAGAGGAUGAUCAGCCACACUGGAACUGAGACACGGUCCAGACUCCUACGGGAGGCAGCAGUGGGGAAUAUUGGACAAUGGGCGAAAGCCUGAUCCAGCCAUACCGCGUGGGUGAAGAAGGCCUUCGGGUUGUAAAGCCCUUUUGUUGGGAAAGAAAAGCAGCAGGUUAAUACCCCGCUGUUCUGACGGUACCCAAAGAAUAAGCACCGGCUAACUUCGUG
rnacentral:rRNA from 1 species